AUUGAACGCUGGCGGCAGGCCUAACACAUGCAAGUCGAGCGGAUGAAGAGAGCUUGCUCUCUGAUUUAGCGGCGGACGGGUGAGUAAUGCCUAGGAAUCUGCCUGGUAGUGGGGGAUAACGUUCCGAAAGGAACGCUAAUACCGCAUACGUCCUACGGGAGAAAGCAGGGGACCUUCGGGCCUUGCGCUAUCAGAUGAGCCUAGGUCGGAUUAGCUAGUUGGUGAGGUAAUGGGUCACCAAGGCUACGAUCCGUAACUGGUCUGAGAGGAUGAUGAGUCACACGGGAACUGAAACCCGGGCCAGACUCCGACGGGAGGAAGCAGUGGGGAAUAUUGGAAAAUGGGCGAAAGCCUGAUCCAGCCAUGCCGCGUGUGUGAAGAAGGUCUUCGGAUUGUAAAGCACUUUAGGUUGGGAGGAAGGGCAGUAAGUUAAUACCUUGCUGUUUUGACGUUACCGACAGAAUAAGCACCGGCUAACUUCGUGCCAGCCGCCGCCGUAACAC
rnacentral:rRNA from 1 species